rnacentral:rRNA from 1 species
UUUCCCUCAGGAUAGCUGGCACUCGCUUGAGCGAGUCUCAUCUGGUAAAGCGAAUGAUUAGAGGCCUUGGGGCCGAAACGACCUCAACCUAUUCUCAAACUUUAAAUGGGUGAGAUCUCUGGCUUGCUUGAACGUUGAAGCCACGAGAUUUUAACUAUGGAUCAGAGUGCCAAGUGGGCCAAUUUUGGUAAGCAGAACUGGCGCUGUGGGA